AGUAACGCGUGAGUAACCUGCCCAUAAGAGGGGGGAGUAAUCCAUGGAAACGUGGACUAAUACCGCAUAUUGUAGUUAAGUUGCAUGACUUGAUUAUGAAAGAUUUAUCGCUUAUGGAUGGACUCGCGUCAGAUUAGAUAGUUGGUGAGGUAACGGCUCACCAAGUCAACGAUCUGUAGCCGAACUGAGAGGUUGAUCGGCCGCAUUGGGACUGAAACACGGCCCAGACUCCUACGGGAGGGCAGCAUG
rnacentral:rRNA from 1 species